AGCAGCCGCGGUAAUUCCAGCUCCAAUAGCGUAUAUUAAAGUUGCUGCAGUUAAAAAGCUCGUAGUUGAAUUUCGGGAUCAAUAUGUUGGUCGUGCCUCGGUACGUACUAGCUUAUUGGUUUCUCCCCUCUGACGAACCAUGAUGUCAUUUAUUUGGUGUUAUGGGAAAUCAGGACUGUUACUUUGAAAAAUUAGAGUGUUUAAAGCAGGCUCACGCUUGAAUACAUUAGCAUGGAAUAAUGAAAUAGGACGUUUGAUUCUAUUUUGUUGGUUUCUAGGAUCGACGUAAUGAUUAAUAGGGAUAGUUGGGGGCAUUAGUAUUCAAUUGUCAGAGGUGAAAUUCUUGGAUUUAUUGAAGACUAACUACUGCGAAAGCAUUUGCCAAGGAUGUUUUCAUUAAUCAAGAACGAAAGUUAGGGGAUCGAAGACGAUCAGAUACCGUCGUAGUCUUAACCAUAAACUAUGCCGACUAGGGAUCGGAUGAUGUUAAUUUUUAAUGUACUCAUUCGGCGCCUUAAC
rnacentral:rRNA from 1 species